UCUGUCAAGAUAUACAGGAUGGCUGGCUC
rnacentral:piRNA from 1 species